rnacentral:lncRNA from 1 species
CUUCUUAUCAAAAUUUCUUUGAUGUGGAAAGACUUUCAAUUGUUAUCUGAACAAUUGGUUUUUAAUUAUUAAGUCUUUUCACUUUUUUGUGAAAAGACUUAUUGUAUUUCUUCUGAUUAUUAAGUCUUUCCACUUUUCUGUGGAAAGACUUAUUGUUUUUGUUCUGAUUAUUAUUAAGUCUUUCCAUUUUUCUGUGGAAAGACUUAUUGUUUUUGUUCUGAUUAUUAUUAUUAUUAUUAUUAUUAUUAUUAUUUUUUUCUUCCGCCAAAUUUUGUUCUUGCGCAAAAUGUUUCUUUCGCAAUAUGUCGCUUAGAUAUUUCUCAUAUGGUAUCGUAUAGUUUAUGCGCUUUUAAAUUUCACCCUGCUAAGGCGAACCAUUUUCUAUGUAAGAGUUAUCUCCCUUUUCACUGUUUAUCCUCUGUGUGCAUCUCCUUC